rnacentral:misc_RNA from 1 species
UUUUUUCCCAUUCACAGGAAUUUUUAAGGAAACUUGUCCAAGGGCCUAAUUACUAAAGCAGGGGAAACCGUACUUUGAGGGAGAAAUCAAACAAAGCAAAAGCAGGCAGCAAGGGUCUCCAUGAGGUUAAAAAGCAAAUCCAGCAUUGCACGCAAAACUUCUGGGAAUAGUGAAGGAGUAUAUCCAUCAAUCUCUACAAAGCCUCUGGAAUUAGAACCCUCAAAUGGCACAACCACCCUAACAGACUUUUAUCACAUAUUAUGAAACCACCCAUUCAGAAUCGGUUGAUGGGUUCAACCCGGUCCUGCACAGCCAUCCUCUCUGAGACAUCAGCCAGAGAUUUGAGAUUGCACUUGAUGAGUGCCUUCACAAAGUAACAUGUCUCAUCCUU